rnacentral:tRNA from 1 species
GGCUCGGUAGCUUAGUUGGAAAAACACUUGCCUGGCGAAUAAAGGUCGUGAGUUUAAAUCUCACCUUAGCUG